GAGGUUAAGUGACUAAGCGUACACGGUGGAUGCCUAGGCAGUCAGAGGCGAUGAAGGGCGUGCUAAUCUGCGAAAAGCGUCGGUAAGGUGAUAUGAACCGUUAUAACCGGCGAUACCCGAAUGGGGAAACCCAGUGUGUUUCGACACACUAUCAUGUCAUGAAUACAUAGUGGCAUGAGGCGAACCGGGGGAACUGAAACAUCUAAGUACCCCGAGGAAAAGAAAUCAACCGAGAUUCCCCCAGUAGCGGCGAGCGAACGGGGAGGAGCCCAGAACCUGAAUCGGCUUGUGUGUUAGUGGAAGCGUCUGGAAAGUCGCGCAGUAAAGGGUGAUAGCCCCGUACACUAAAAUGCACAGGUCGUGAGUUCGAUGAGUAGGGCGGGACACGUGACAUCCUGUCUGAAUAUGGGGGGACCAUCCUCCAAGGCUAAAUACUCCUGACUGACCGAUAGUGAACCAGUACCGUGAGGGAAAGGCGAAAAGAACCCCGGCGAGGGGAGUGAAAUAGAACCUGAAACCGUGUACGUACAAGCAGUGGGAGCACCUUCGUGGUGUGACUGCGUACCUUUUGUAUAAUGGGUCAGCGACUUAUAUUUUGUAGCAAGGUUAACCGUAUAGGGGAGCCGUAGGGAAACCGAGUCUUAACUGGGCGACUAGUUGCAAGGUAUAGACCCGAAACCCGGUGAUCUAGCCAUGGGCAGGUUGAAGGUUGGGUAACACUAACUGGAGGACCGAACCGACUAAUGUUGAAAAAUUAGCGGAUGACUUGUGGCUGGGGGUGAAAGGCCAAUCAAACCGGGAGAUAGCUGGUUCUCCCCGAAAGCUAUUUAGGUAGCGCCUCGUGAACUCAUCUUCGGGGGUAGAGCACUGUUUCGGCUAGGGGGCCAUCCCGGCUUACCAAACCGAUGCAAACUCCGAAUACCGAAGAAUGUUAUCACGGGAGACACACGGCGGGUGCUAACGUCCGUCGUGAAGAGGGAAACAACCCAGACCGCCAGCUAAGGUCCCAAAGUCAUGGUUAAGUGGGAAACGAUGUGGGAAGGCAUAGACAGCCAGGAUGUUGGCUUAGAAGCAGCCAUCAUUUAAAGAAAGCGUAAUAGCUCACUGGUCGAGUCGGCCUGCGCGGAAGAUGUAACGGGGCUAAACCAUGCACCGAAGCUGCGGCAGCGACGCUUAGGCGUUGUUGGGUAGGGGAGCGUUCUGUAAGCCGUUGAAGGUGGCCUGUGAGGGUUGCUGGAGGUAUCAGAAGUGCGAAUGCUGACAUAAGUAACGAUAAAGCGGGUGAAAAGCCCGCUCGCCGGAAGACCAAGGGUUCCUGUCCAACGUUAAUCGGGGCAGGGUGAGUCGACCCCUAAGGCGAGGCUGAAAAGCGUAGUCGAUGGGAAACAGGUUAAUAUUCCUGUACUUGGUGUUACUGCGAAGGGGGGACGGAGAAGGCUAGGCUAGCCGGGCGACGGUUGUCCCGGUUUAAGCGUGUAGGGGGUGUGACCUGGUAAAUCCGGUUGCAUGCUAACCCUGAGGCGUGAUGACGAUGCACUACGGUGCAGAAGUAGUUGAUGCCCUGCUUCCAGGAAAAUCCUCUAAGCUCCAGGUAACAUUAAAUCGUACCCCAAACCGACACAGGUGGUCAGGUAGAGAAUACCAAGGCGCUUGAGAGAACUCGGGUGAAGGAACUAGGCAAAAUGGUGCCGUAACUUCGGGAGAAGGCACGCUGGCAUGUAGGUGAAGUCCCUUGCGGAUGGAGCUGAAGCCAGUCGAAGAUACCAGCUGGCUGCAACUGUUUAAUAAAAACACAGCACUGUGCAAACACGAAAGUGGACGUAUACGGUGUGACGCCUGCCCGGUGCUGGAAGGUUAAUUGAUGGGGUCAGCCGCAAGGCGAAGCUCUUGAUCGAAGCCCCAGUAAACGGCGGCCGUAACUAUAACGGUCCUAAGGUAGCGAAAUUCCUUGUCGGGUAAGUUCCGACCUGCACGAAUGGCGUAAUGAUGGCCAGGCUGUCUCCACCCGAGACUCAGUGAAAUUGAACUCGCUGUGAAGAUGCAGUGUACCCGCGGCAAGACGGAAAGACCCCGUGAACCUUUACUAUAGCUUGACACUGAACAUUGAGCCUUGAUGUGUAGGAUAGGUGGGAGGCUUUGAAGCGUGGACGCCAGUCUGCGUGGAGCCAUCCUUGAAAUACCACCCUUUAAUGUUUGAUGUUCUAACUCGGCCCCAUAAUCUGGGGUGAGGACAGUGUCUGGUGGGUAGUUUGACUGGGGCGGUCUCCUCCCAAAGAGUAACGGAGGAGCACGAAGGUUAGCUAAUCACGGUCGGACAUCGUGAGGUUAGUGCAAAGGCAUAAGCUAGCUUGACUGCGAGAGUGACGGCUCGAGCAGGUACGAAAGUAGGUCUUAGUGAUCCGGUGGUUCUGAAUGGAAGGGCCAUCGCUCAACGGAUAAAAGGUACUCCGGGGAUAACAGGCUGAUACCGCCCAAGAGUUCAUAUCGACGGCGGUGUUUGGCACCUCGAUGUCGGCUCAUCACAUCCUGGGGCUGAAGUAGGUCCCAAGGGUAUGGCUGUUCGCCAUUUAAAGUGGUACGCGAGCUGGGUUUAGAACGUCGUGAGACAGUUCGGUCCCUAUCUGCCGUGGGCGUUGGAAGAUUGAGAGGGGUUGCUCCUAGUACGAGAGGACCGGAGUGAACGCACCACUGGUGUUCGGGUUGUCAUGCCAAUGGCAUUGCCCGGUAGCUAAGUGCGGAAAAGAUAAGCGCUGAAAGCAUCUAAGCGCGAAACUUGCCUCAAGAUGAGUCUUCCCUGGGCCUUCAAGGCCCCUGAAGGAACGUUUAAGACUAAGACGUUGAUAGGCUGGGUGUGUAAGUGCAGCGAUGCAUUGAGCUAACCAGUACUAAUGAUCCGUGAGGCUUAACCUUA
rnacentral:rRNA from 1 species